AAGCAAGAUGACCCGCCGAAUUUAANCAUA
rnacentral:rRNA from 1 species